CUGUGACUCUACGGGAGGCAGCAGUGGGAAGUAUUGCACAAUGGGGAAACCGUCGAUGCAGCCAUGCCGCGUGUGUGAAGAAGGCCUUCGGGUUGUAAAGCACUUUCAGUAGGGAGGAAGGUAGUGUAGUUAACACCUGCAUUAUUUGACGUUACCUACAGAAGAAGCACCGGCUAACUCCGUGCCAGCAGCCGCGGUAAUACGGAGGGUGCGAGCGUUAAUCGGAAUUACUGGGCGUAAAGCGCAUGCAGGCGGCCUGUUAAGUCAGAUGUGAAAGCCCGGGGCUUAACCUCGGAAUUGCAUUUGAAACUGGCAGGCUAGAGUCUUGUAGAGGGGGUAGAAUUUCAGGUGUAGCGGUGAAAUGCGUAGAGAUCUGAAGGAAUACCAGUGGCGAAGGCGGCCCCCUGGACAAAGACUGACGCUCAGAUGCGAAAGCGUGGGGAGCAAACAGGAUUAGAUACCCUGGUAG
rnacentral:rRNA from 1 species